UAGGGAAUCUUCGGCAAUGGACGAAAGUCUGACCGAGCAACGCCGCGUGAGUGAAGAAGGUUUUCGGAUCGUAAAACUCUGUUGGUAGAGAAGAACGUUGGUGAGAGUGGAAAGCUCAUCAAGUGACGGUAACUACCCAGAAAGGGACGGCUAACUACGUGCCAGCAGCCGCGGUAAUACGUAGGUCCCGAGCGUUGUCCGGAUUUAUUGGGCGUAAAGCGAGCGCAGGUGGUUUAUUAAGUCUGGUGUAAAAGGCAGUGGCUCAACCAUUGUAUGCAUUGGAAACUGGUAGACUUGAGUGCAGGAGAGGAGAGUGGAAUUCCAUGUGUAGCGGUGAAAUGCGUAGAUAUAUGGAGGAACACCGGUGGCGAAAGCGGCUCUCUGGCCUGUAACUGACACUGAGGCUCGAAAGCGUGGGGAGCAAACAGGAUUAGAUACCCAGGUAGUCCCUGAGCGGGCUGGCAAGGCGCAU
rnacentral:rRNA from 1 species